UUUUCGUACUCUUUUCCUUUGUAAGGGUAUGUCGACCCUUCUUCUCCGUCACGCUCCUCUUCCUCCUCUCUCCACCCCGCCCAAAUCGCCAUUCCCAACCUCGGCGCCUAAACUCACGGCGAGCUCCUCCUCCUCCUCCUCUCCCUCCUCCAAUGGAACCAACGCCCCUCUCUAUAGGAACCCACUUGGUAUCUCCCUUUCACACUUCUCACAGGGGCCAUGGUCACUAUCACUUCGACCACCGCGAAGAACCCUAAAUGGGUUCCCCAUCUCUAGGCCCAACGCAACCUCUGGAGAAUCCGAUGGCCAUGAGAGGCUGGUUUUGGGUUGGAUUGAGAACGCCCGCAAGGUGUUCGACGGUUUGCCCCAACCAGUAAAAAGUUUCCCGUGGAUGAGAUUUUUGGGUAUAUUUCAGAAUCUCGCAUUCGGGCUCGCUCUUGUUGUCGCUAAGUAUCUAGCGAUUCCUCUUUUGGCCAUCUCAUCUCUUAGUGAGAUGUCAUAUUGUGCGCAUGAGAGGAAGAUGGGAUUCAUUCCAAUCCCAUUCCUUGCUGGGUUUGUUGUUGCUGGGGUCGCUAAUCACGCUGCUAUCGACCUCUCUUCCGAUCUCAAGGAAGCAGAUGAUCCCUGGCAUUUGGUUCUGAUUGCGGCCUUUUUUCUAUUGAUUAAAUUGCCUGGUCCGUAUUACCCAUAUUUGGGCCGGUUGUGUAUUCCUCACUUUGCUAAUGGCGGGCUUUGGAGGACUGCUUGGCUUGCUUUCAUGUGGUAUAAAAGGUGGCACGAGAAAGCGACAACGGAGUAACUAUAGUUUCAUAGAGAAUUGCCUAGAAUAGAAGGCCGUAAUAUGUAAUUCCAAUAAGGGCGGCAAAUUUUGGUUGUAGCCAGAUUUGGAAGGAGCAGGGAACCGGUUCGAGUGUGCGAGCACAUUGUGGGUUCUAAUUGUUAGCCAGUGGAAGUACAUGAGAAUGUCUUUAGGCCUGGAUUUUAAUUCUGCACUCUCUUUGUUUUGAGUUUGGAUCUGUUGUGGAAUGGGCUCUGUGGCACGGCUGUUUGUAAUCACCAUCUGAUAACAGAGGUUGCUGUUCGUCAAACUGAUACUCUAGAGUUGCCUUUGCGUCGAUCUAAGUAGUGUUAGAAAGUCUGUGUGAAGCUAUAGCUGAACUUUUUCUGUACUGGAAACUUUUUGAUUGCUUUUAUUGCUUACCAAGUCUCUUUCAUGAAGGUCAGGUGGAGAACUUAACAUUAAUUCAAGGUUUAUUUAUGUGAAGCUAGCAUAUAGAUUAAGCUUUGUGAAUGAUAAUUAAGUGGUGAAUUUCUCUGAUCUGUACUUGAGGUUAAGAAGUUAAUGAUGUUUCGUGUGAUUCUGCUGCAGCUUUUAGGCUCGAGUUAUAUCCUGUAUUAAUUAGAUUGUAUUGAAUCAUACUAAGUGGCAUACAUUUGUUAAAUUAGUGUUUUUUAACAGAGGGGAUUCUCACAUGACAUUUCAACCUUAUGUUGCACCGCAAAUGAUUCGUCCUUCCAUUUUCUUUUUAUUGUCAAUGCAGAUCACUUUCACAUAAAAUAUUGAAAUUGAAAUAGAUUGAUACACUCAUCUGUUUGAUAAGAAAUGGAGUGUAUAAAUGGCGAUUUCACUGUUGAUGUGGUAGACAGUUUAUGAAUAAAGCAGUAAUUAUAAUAAAUAAAAUGAAUCAGCAAUUUUUUUUUUAUCAAGCUAAGUAAAUAACCAUAGAACUUAGGAAGUGACUGAGGGAACAUUGAAGAAAGGAAUCUCUCUGAUAAUCAGAGUCCUGUACCGGGGUACAUAUUAGGUGCAAUCGCGAUAGACAGCGCUGAUUCAUCCCGUGGAGUGGCCGACAAAGAGCGAAGGGAGCCCAUGUUUCGAGUCGGUCCUGAAGAAGCAUCUGAUCUCUUCAGCAGUACUAGUACUGAUAAUGGGAAGUUGUGAGGAGUGGUGGAGUUGGCAUGUGGUGUCGUUUUCAUCUGCCGGCACGCCAGGGGUCUCCUGCUUUGGUCUGCACUUGCGGCUCAGAUGACCAAACCAAGGCUGUCGGCGCAGCCGCCCGUGGAAACACCAACAGUUUCAGGCUUCGUGUAUAUUUCGUUACACCUCGAGGUAAUGCUACAUAUAUUCAAAAUCUUAAUCUUACAAUGCUGCUGAUAUAGUGAUAUGCUUACACAUAUAAUAUAAUGUUUUGAUUUAUCAAUGCAUACAAUCUAAAAUGUCACAUAACAUGCAUGUCAACAAAUGGUCGAUGGGACAAUAGCGUAUCUUAUGAGAUGAGAUGUGCUAUUCCUUCCACACUUAAGAGGAGGGCCAUGUUGAUAAUAACUUUUCUGAUAAAUUAUUGAGCUCGAUGAUUGAAAGUUGAAACCUCACCAACCAAAAAAAGAAAACCAGAGCUUAAGAUGGUCAAUUUCCAACACCGAUGGUCAAGGGGUCACCUCAUGAAUGAGUCAUAAGCUGUGGAUUCUCGUGGUCGAUUUAAAUGUUUGAUUGGCCAAUUGGGAACCUUAUUUUAUGAACUUUUUCGAAAAGUUCAAAACUCUGUAAUUGUAAUGACAAAUGGGUUUUUGGCUGUGACCUAUCAUUGACUGCAAGAUUGAAUACAUACCUCCUAGUUUCAAAUUUUUUUUUUUUUUGAAAAAAGAAAAGUUAUCAUUCCCUUCAAUAGUAUUGAAUUAGGAGUCAUGAUCUCAAAUUGGCCCUACCUACAUCAAUUCGGGCUCUAGAAUAUGGGUUCCAUCCACGGGUUUCUAUAUUACAUUGGUUUCAAAAUUGGUGGCCCAAAGUGCUCCUAACUUUGUCUUAAUAACAUAGAAAUAACUAGAUAAAUUGAUGAGGAUUUUACUUAGCUGUAAAGUUCUGUUUCAUGUUACACUGAUGAACAGAUGUUCGGAAAAAAAGCAUCAAAAGGGCCCCCCUCUUUUGUGCAGUGUUCACUCUCUAGACUCCAAUGUCUAAAGUGCUUAUGACAUUGUGGUCCCUUAUUUGGCCCAAAAAUGCGAAAUAAAUAGUGGAGUUUAAGCUAAUAGAGUCACUAAACCGACACAUUAGCCACUAUAAAGAGUCGCAAAAGAGUCACCGAAACGCACGUUACUUUUAUAAACUUUUUCUUCGUAUCUAAAUAAAUAUAAAUCACAUCACCUGGCUAUAUAUAGCCCCACCACUCAAAUAAGCCACACUCCAACUCUCACUUCCCUUGCCCAUUCCCACCUCUCAAAUCUCACACAUCCUUUCUUUUUUAACUUCCCUUCUUCUCCUGUUCUCCUUCUCUCCUUUUCCACUUCUUGUAAUUCAUUUUGUAGCCCAUAAGGAGUUAGCAAAGAUGAUAGAAGAAGUAACGGCCGGUGGAGUAGUUACAAAGAAGAGUAACACGUCCACGAAUCCAUCUGUAGGCCAACUAGUGAACAACUCUUCUUCUGCUACUGCUGUUGCUGCUGCAUUGUCGUCGUCGUCAUCUUUGUUGCACUCGGGAUCUCUGCGAUGCCCACGGUGCAACUCCCCGAACACAAAGUUCUGCUACUUCAACAACCACAGCCGCGCGCAGCCGCGCCACUUCUGCAGGACCUGCCGCCGCUACUGGACCCAAGGCGGCGCCCUCCGCAACGUCCCCAUCGGCGGCACCUCCCGCAGGUCCAAGCGCAAAUCCACCAACCUGAUCCUAUCUGGAGGUCCAUCAAUGGUGAGCCCAACCGCAAUGCGGGCUAUGCCGUACUGUAGGACGUCGGCCCACCACUUGAUGGCCCUGUUAUGGCCCAAUUGCGGCCCAAACCCGAGGCUUGGGCCCAGCAUUAGCCCGAUCAAUUCCUUGCUGAGUGAAGUGCCAAACUAUUACUACAAGGAUCACUUAAACACAGUUACCAGCAUUGUGGAUUGCUUCGCUUUCACUUCUGCUUCUGCUUCUGCUUCUGCUUCUGCCUCUGCCUCUGCUUCCGAUAUUACUACUAGUAAUAGUAGUAGUGGUAGUUUGUUGGUGGCUACUACUACUAGAAGUGCUUCUUCUAUCUCAGAAUCGGUUCCUCUCAUGGAAAGUGAGUUUGGGUAUUGCUUGAAUUCGGCAUUCACUUGGCCUCAUCUGCCGACUACUAUCAGUGGCUCUUCUACAUUCCCUUAGAAUAUGUAUAUUUUGAAUCAAUUAUUUGUUGUUAUUGUAGUGUAUAUGUUGUUCUAUGUUAAAAAAAAGUGUUCUAGCUAGUUCAUCUUGUUUGGAGAUUCGAUAAGGCACGAAUUUGCGCACACGGCCCUUUUAUCUUUUGUUACUUAGAUGUAAUUUCUGUGGUUGGA